rnacentral:rRNA from 1 species
AUUGAACGCUGGCGGCAGGCCUAACACAUGCAAGUCGAGCGGAUGAAGGGAGCUUGCUCCUGGAUUCAGCGGCGGACGGGUGAGUAAUGCCUAGGAAUCUGCCUGGUAGUGGGGGAUAACGUCCGGAAACGGGCGCUAAUACCGCAUACGUCCUGAGGGAGAAAGUGGGGGAUCUUCGGACCUCACGCUAUCAGAUGAGCCUAGGUCGGAUUAGCUAGUUGGUGGGGUAAAGGCCUACCAAGGCGACGAUCCGUAACUGGUCUGAGAGGAUGAUCAGUCACACUGGAACUGAGACACGGUCCAGACUCCUGCGGGAGGCAGCAGUGGGGAAUAUUGGGCAAAGGGCGAAAGCCUGAUCCAGCCAUGCCGCGUGUGUGAAGAAGGUCUUCGGAUUGUAAAGCACUUUAAGUUGGGAGGAAGGGCAGUAAGUUAAUACCUUGCUGUUUUGACGUUACCAACAGAAUAAGCACCGGCUAACUUCGUG